rnacentral:rRNA from 1 species
GAUGAACGCUAGCGGCAGGCCUAAUACAUGCAAGCUGAACGGCAAUCCCGCCAGCAAUGGCGGGACUAGAGUAGCGUAAGGGUGCGUAACACGUAUGCAAUCUGCCCUCAACAGGAGGAUAGCUCCCCGAAGGGGGAAUUAAGACUCCAUAAUAUCAUUUAAUGGCAUCAUUGGAUGAUUAAACUACCAGGGGUUGAGGAUGAGCAUGCGCAUGAUUAGUUAGUUGGCGGGGUAAAGGCCCACCAAGACUUUGAUCAUUAGGGGGAACUGAGAGGUUGGUCCCCCACACUGGCACUGAGAUACGGGCCAGACUCCUACGGGAGGCAGCAGUAGGGAAUAUUGGACAAGUGGGUGCAAAGCCUGAUCCAGCCAUGCCGCGUGCAGGAAGAAAGCCUUCUGGGUUGUAAACUGUC